rnacentral:rRNA from 1 species
UACGUAGGGUGCGAGCGUUGUCCGGAAUUAUUGGGCGUAAAGAGCUCGUAGGCGGUGUGUCGCGUCGGCCGUGAAAACCUGGGGCUCAACUCUGGGCGUGCGGUCGAUACGGGCAUCACUGGAGUUCGGCAGGGGAGACUGGAAUUCCUGGUGUAGCGGUGAAAUGCGCAGAUAUCGGGAGGAACAUCAGUGGCGAAGGCGGCCCUCUGGUCCAGUACUGACACUCAAGUGCGAAAGCGUGGGGAGCAAACAGG